rnacentral:rRNA from 1 species
AUUGAACGCUGGCGGCAGGCCUAACACAUGCAAGUCGAACGAGUGGCGGACGGGUGAGUAAGGUCUGGGAAACUGCCUGAUGGAGGGGGAUAACUACUGGAAACGGUAGCUAAUACCGCAUACCAUCAGAUGUGCCCAGAUGGGAUUAGCUGGUGGGGGGGGUAACGGCUAACCAUGGCGACGAUCCCUAGCGGGUCUGAGAGGAUGACCAGCCAGACUGGAACUGAGACACGGUCCAGACGCCUACGGGAGGCAGCAUUGGGGAAUAUUGCACAAUGGGCGAAAGCCUGAUGCAGCCAUGCCGCGGGUAUGAAGAAGGCCUUCGGGUUGUAAAGUACUUUCAGCGGGGAGGCGUUACCCGCAGAAGAAGCACCGGCUAACUCCGUGCCAGCAGCCGCGGUAAUAC